rnacentral:rRNA from 1 species
CGCACGGGUGAGUAACACGUGAGUGACCUGCCUUUUAGACUGGAACAACUUACCGAAAGGUGAGCUAAUAGCCGGACGUGAGUUAUAUAAGUGCAUGUUUAUAUAGGAAAAGUUGGGGAGACCUGACGCUGAAAGAUGGACUCGCGUCCCAUUAGCUAGUUGGUAGGGUAAUGGCCUACCAAGGCGACGAUGGGUAGCCGGCCUGAGAGGGUGGCCGGCCACACUGGGACUGAGACACGGCCCAGACUCCUACGGAAGGCAGCAG